UGCAUUCCAUUUCCAAUCUCAAGAUCAAUUAUAUGAACCUUUUCCGAUUCUACUACAUGAUCGAUGAUGGCUUGAACACCGGCAGAUGGCCGUCACCUGAGCCAGAGGUACACUAUGAUAUGCUGCAAUCAUAGAAGAUUUAUGCUCAUUAACGAAUCCUCUAUAUAAGCUAAUCGUUUCAUUCCAAUUCCUUUCGACGUUCCUCUUCCUGUUUCCCAAUUUUUUCUAUCAUGAAGUGCUCGGGAAAAAUAGUAUACCAAUCUCUGUAUUGGAUUUCCUUUCUUGGAACAUGACUUGUCACACUCAUUAAGAAGGUUUCGUGCACGAUCAAACUGCUUCUGCGCUACUUUCUCAGCAGAAGCUAGAGGUAUUCGACAAGUGUAAUAUUUCUAGUGUCAUUCUCAGAAAGUCCAUGAAAUGAGCUAGCAAAUGGAUGGCUAAACAUGUAUGCUUCUUCUCGACUUAUAGUAAAUGAUUGGAUGAACUUUUCAGCACCCAAACGACGGAUUUCAUCGAUACAUAACUUAUAUUCACUCUUAUCUGUUUGCAUACUAAUAAUAUUGUUUUCUGCCUUUGAUCUUCUGAACCUGUUGUUAUAAUCUUUCAGGAUCUUGAGUUCUGAAGGCAAUG
rnacentral:lncRNA from 1 species